UAAAAAAUAACCCGGUAAAUAUUUGGGAUUUAAUAAGAAAUCCUAAUAUUAAAUACAAGCGAAACAAAGUUUUAAGGAAUUGAGUUUAUAAGAGACCGAGUUAACGGGAUUUAAAACACUACGGAUUAUAAUUCCCGGAACCCAUCAAGUUAACUAGGUAAAAUUAACCUAGUUAGUAGAGGGUAAUUAAAUAAUAAACUAUGAGUUAUGGUUUCAUAUAUGAAUCUUUAAACUUGAGGGACUAAACAUGGGCAAUUAGAAUAGUGUUUUAUUAAAACACUUAAAAAAAAUAAUAGAACUCAAUACACACACAUACGUAUGCGACCAGAGGAAAGCUCCAUGGGAGCUCAAACCCUAACUUCAACAAAUCAACAAAAUUGAAGGAUCAAACCAAGUUCAAAUCGAAAAUGGAGCAUAGAUUACUGAUCCUCAUCACAAGAGGAUCACAAGUUUGACGCGUAACAAGCUAGGUGGAAGCUUGGAGUGAAAGCGGGUCAAACAAGUCAAGCAUGGAAGAAAAGCGUAGCUCGGAUGCAAGGUAAGUGAAACUUACAUAAUUGUGUAGAUUACUUAUUUCAUUCUAUACGUUAUAGAUGCAAUAAUGCUAAUAUUGAAAAUAUGGAUUUCCGACGUGAUUGAUACGAGUCGGAACAUAUAAAGAUGAUAAAAACCAUGUUUAUGGCAAAAAGGGGAUUCGGUAAUGAAAUCCGGGACGGGAUGGAUGUAUGGAUUAGAAGUCAAAAACCAUGUUUUUUAUUUAAUAGGCAACGUUGGGCAUAUAGGCCGAACGGGUCAAAUGGUGGUGAUAACACUAUUUGACAAUAUCGACUAAUGCGAUUGUCAAGUCUUGUGUUAACAGGAGCGAUUAGCGAUUCAGUUAAUUUCGCCCACACUAAGUAUGAUGAUAAAAGCAAGGUAUAAAUUGGGUCUAUAUGUUGACCCUAGCCAGGUACGUAUGCAUACGAUUAAAGUUAACAUACAAACUUGGUCAUAUAGGUAGUGAAAGCCCCUCGUAGUAAAUGAGGGGCUAAUGUCGACUAAAAUGCCCUUGAAGGGUAAAUUGAGCGAACAACUUAUAAAGUUUGUUUAGGAACUUAUCUUACGAUCUUGUAACCUUUAGACGCACAUGAAAGUUGUAGACAUAAACUUUCAAGAGUUAAAUGCUUAAAUUGUGUGUUGCCGCAAAAAUAACAUAUCCGUA